rnacentral:rRNA from 1 species
AUGCCAUUGCCAAUCCCCAAGGAGUCGUGGGAUCUCAUCACCAUGGACUUCGUGGAUGGAUUGCCGCAAUCGGGGCAACACAAUUGCUUGCUUGUGGUGGUCGACAAGAGAACUCGAUGUGCUCACUUCCUUCCUCUGGCUCACCCCUAUACAACAUCGAAAGUGGCUAUCCUCUACAUGCAACAACUCUACAAGCUGCACGGUUUUCCCGGGGCUAUCGUAUCUGACAGCGACCCAGUUUUCACCAGCCACUUUUGGCAAGAACUAUUCAAGUAUGCAGGUACAAAAUUGCGCAUGAGCACGGCGAACCACCCGCAGACUGACGGCCAAACCGAAAGGGUGAACCAGUGCAUCGAGACUUAUCUGCGCUGCUUCGUACAAGCGUGUCCGAAGCGAUGGAGUUUCUGGGUGCCUCUGGCGCAGUUCUGGUACAACUCAUCGCAUCACUCCGCCAUCGGGAUGACACCAUUCAAGGCCAUGUUUGGGAGAGAACCAAGGCACUGGGGGAUCACUGCAUCAACAUCGUCGACGGUACCAGCGCUGCAAACCUGGCUCGAGGAAUGGGCAGUUAUGCAAGAUCUCAUCCAACAACAACUCCAUCGCGCACGCCAGAUCAUGCAAGAACAAGCGAACAAGAAGCGCUCCUUCCGUCAGUUUCAGGUCGGCGAUUAA